rnacentral:rRNA from 1 species
GAUGAACGCUGGCGGCGUGCCUAAUACAUGCAAGUCGAGCGAACAGACGAGGAGCUUGCUCCUCUGACGUUAUCGGCGGACGGGUGAGUAACACGUGGAUAACCUACCUAUAAGACUGGGAUAACUUCGGGAAACCGGAGCUAAUACCGGAUAAUAUAUUGAACCGCAUGGUUCAAUAGUGAAAGACGGUUUUGCUGUCACUUAUAGAUGGAUCCGCGCCGCAUUAGCUAGUUGGUAAGGUAACGGCUUACCAAGGCAACGAUGCGUAGCCGACCUGAGAGGGUGAUCGGCCACACGGGAACUGAGACACGGUCCAGACUCCUACGGGAGGCAGCAGUAGGGACUCUUCCGCAAUGGGCGAAAGCCUGACGGAGCAACGCCGCGUGAGUGAUGAAGGUCUUCGGAUCGUAAAACUCUGUUAUUAGGGAAGAACAAAUGUGUAAGUAACUAUGCACGUCUUGACGGUACCUAAUCAGAAAGCCACGGCUAACUACGUG